rnacentral:misc_RNA from 1 species
AAUCGAAGUACGCCAUAGAAGCAACGAAGGUAGAAAAAAAAAUGGAGGACGAUAGGAUUCUAGAGAGAGAAAGGUAUCAAAUGGAGCAAAUACGGGAGCUUGAAUCGGAGGAAUUGCAAGUUGAGGAAGUCGAUGAAGAAUCAUCAGACGAUGAAACUAAUUACCGUAGUUCGGGGGGAGCAUCUGCAUCUGGUGAAUUUACUUACAACACCUCUCUGGCUGCCUUACAUUCUUACCUUGGUGAUGUUGAAGAUACUCAUAACAGGCUGGCCUUCUUGGAUGGAGGAGCUGUCUUAAAUGUUCCUCUGUUCUAUCUAGAAGGAGUUGUUUUAUUUCCCGAGGCCACACUUCCUUUGCGAGUCAUUCAGCCUAAUUUUAUAGCUUCUGUUGAAA